rnacentral:misc_RNA from 1 species
CCACACCGUCCUUACGAGGCCGCGUCUUCGACUCAGCCCCACGCGAGAUUCCGCGCAAGAUUCCGCGCAAAUGCGUGUUGAAAAGUGCGUGUUGAAAGGAGCGUGGGAAUACGGCUGAGGCGAAGUAAACCCUUGCCUAUGAGUACCCUUUGUUCCCUCGGCGGGCUCGCGCCCGUCGAUGGGCCCAACCAAAACCCCUUUGCAGUAGCAGUAUACCUCUGAUCGUGGGCAUUUGAAUCUUAA